rnacentral:tRNA from 1 species
GGGCCCAUAGCUCAGUUGGUUAGAGCUUCCGGCUCAUAACCGGGUGGUCCCAGGUUCGAGUCCUGGUGGGCCCACCA